GACGAACCGUGCGAACGUUGUUCGGAUUCACUGGGCUUAAAGGGCGCGUAGGCGGACGGUCAAGUCAGGGGUGAAAUCUUUCAGCUCAACUGGAAAAGUGCCUCUGAUACUGAUCGUCUCGAGGGAGGUAGGGGCAUGUGGAACUUCCGGUGGAGCGGUGAAAUGCGUAGAUAUCGGAAGGAACGCCGGUGGCGAAAGCGACGUGCUGGACCUCUUCUGACGUUGAGGCGCGAAAGCCAGGGGAGCGAACGGG
rnacentral:rRNA from 1 species